rnacentral:rRNA from 1 species
CCAGCAAUGCCGCGUGAGUGAUGAAGGCCUUCGGGUUGUAAAGCUCUUUCGCACGCGACGAUGAUGACGGUAGCGUGAGAAGAAGCCCCGGCUAACUUCGUGCCAGCAGCCGCGGUAAUACGAAGGGGGCUAGCGUUGUUCGGAAUUACUGGGCGUAAAGGGCGCGUAGGCGGUGUGUCAAGUCAGGCGUGAAAGCCCCGGGCUCAACCUGGGAACCGCGCUUGAGACUGGCACGCUCGAGUUCGGGAGAGGAUGGUGGAAUUCCCAGUGUAGAGGUGAAAUUCGUAGAUAUUGGGAAGAACACCGAUGGCGAAGGCAGCCAUCUGGACCGACACUGACGCUGAGGCGCGAAAGCGUGGGGAGCAAACAGGAUUAGAUACCCUGGUAGUCCACGCCGUAAACGAUGAGUGCUAGACGUCGGGGCCCUUAGGGCUUCGGUGUCGCAGCUAACGCAUUAAGCACUCCGCCUGGGGAGUACGGCCGCAAGGUUA